rnacentral:rRNA from 1 species
UACGGAGAGCGCAAGCAUUAAUCGGAAUUAUUGGGCGUAAAGGGCGCGUAGGCGGAGGGAAAAGUCAGAUGUGAAAUUCCGAAGCUCAACUUCGGAGCUGCAUUUGAAACUAUCCAUCUAGAGGGUUGACGGAGAAAACGGAAUUCCACGUGUAGCGGUGAAAUGCGUAGAUAUGUGGAAGAACACCUGUGGCGAAAGCGGUUUUCUAGUUAAUACCUGACGCUGAGGCGCGAGAGCAAGGGGAGCAAACAGG